CUCCCCACCUGCCCUCCUUUCUCCCCUGACACUGUCCAUUCAGCAUCCCCAUACACAUUUCCAAAAUGGUGGCUGCUCCAACUGGGCAACCAGUCUCUGUCUCAGGCUAAAGCUCCGGCUAGUGGCCAUUUUUAGGCCCAUGCCAUAGAGUGUAAAUGCCCAUUUACCUAUUUUUGUUUCCCUUUUCCUCACCCAGCAAACACUCCACUCCUCCCCAAAACCUCGUUGGCCAGUUCAUAAUGGUGGCCUGCAGCACGGCACAGCUGCAGCCUCUACCUUGUCCCCUCCUGCAGCAGAACUGAAUAAUGAAAAUGGUAUUUUGUGCAAAAUUCAGAAGUUUAUUGAGCUACUGGUUACAGAAAAAGAAAUUUGGUUUGUAUUCUCAGUGUACAUGAGGUAGACAUGGACACUGCAGACCCAUAAAGUUACAAAGACCACAGCUCCUGCUGAGGUAAUAAACACCCUGUAACACAUUACAGUACAAAAGCUUUACCAUAGGGAUAGCAAAGCUCUUAAUGCCUUUUCACAGGCUCACCCAGGGUGCCUUUACACUGCAACAAAACACCCCGCAGCAGCAAGUCUCAAAGCUUGGGUCAACUGACUCUAGCUUGCAGUGCUCAACCUGUCGGGCUAAAAAUAGCACUGUAGACAUUUGAGUUCAGGCUGGAGCUUAGGCUCUGGGACCCACCCCGCCUUUGCUGGGUUUCAGAGCUUGGGCUCCAGCCCAAGUGGGAACGUCUACAUGGCUAUUUUUAGCCCUGUAGCUUCAGCCCUGCUAACCCAAAACAAUUUGACCCAGUCUUUGAGACUUGCUCCUGCAGGGUGAGGAGGGGGGAAGUAAAGGAGGUGUUGCACUGUAAACAUACCCAUAUAUAACGACUGACAACAGUGAAUGUUUCAGACAAUCAUUGCAGAAUCCAGUUUUUCUUUGCACUUCCACCAUGUCUACAGGGGAGAUAAAGCAAAAUCUAUGACUGAGAAAUUGCUCCACACUUCUCCGACAUUAAUGAGGAACAGCUUCAUGGUUACCCCACAGGAGUAGCUCACAACUCUCUUCCAUUCCUGCAGCACUUCUGGGGAGGACCAUCUUGAUGAAUAUCUGUGUAUCUACUGGGUGUCUGGG